rnacentral:rRNA from 1 species
UACGGAGGGUGCAAGCGUUAUCCGGAUUCACUGGGUUUAAAGGGUGCGUAGGCGGGCAGGUAAGUCCGUGGUGAAAUCUCUGAGCUUAACUCAGAAACUGCCAUGGAUACUAUUUGUCUUGAAUAUUGUGGAGGUAAGCGGAAUAUGUCAUGUAGCGGUGAAAUGCUUAGAUAUGACAUAGAACACCAAUUGCGAAGGCAGCUUGCUGCACAGUUAUUGACGCUGAGGCACGAAAGCGUGGGGAGCAAACAGG